AGUGAACGCUGGCGGUAGGCCUAACACAUGCAAGUCGAACGGCAGCACAGUAAGAGCUUGCUCUUACGGGUGGCGAGUGGCGGACGGGUGAGGAAUACAUCGGAAUCUACUUUUUCGUGGGGGAUAACGUAGGGAAACUUACGCUAAUACCGCAUACGACCUACGGGUGAAAGCAGGGGAUCUUCGGACCUUGCGCGAUUGAAUGGGCCGAUGUCGGAUUAGCUAGUUGGCGGGGUAAAGGCCCACCAAGGCGACGAUCCGUAGCUGGUCUGAGAGGAUGAUCAGCCACACUGGAACUGAGACACGGUCCAGACUCCUACGGGAGGCAGCAGUGGGGAAUAUUGGACAAUGGGCGCAAGCCUGAUCCAGCCAUACCGCGUGGAUGAAGAAGGCCUUCGGGUUGUAAAGCCCUUUUGUUGGGAAAGAAAAGCAGCAGGUUAAUACCCCGCUGUUCUGACGGUACCCAAAGAAUAAGCACCGGCUAACUUCGUG
rnacentral:rRNA from 1 species